rnacentral:miRNA from 1 species
GCUAUUAAAAUAUACUUGAAAUUGGGCCUUUUGAAAGAUGAAAAGCCCAAUUUCAAAUAUAUUUUCAUAGC